UACGAAGGGGGCUAGCGUUGCUCGGAAUUACUGGGCGUAAAGCGCACGUAGGCGGAUCUUUAAGUCAGGGGUGAAAUCCUGGAGCUCAACUCCAGAACUGCCUUUGAUACUGAGGAUCUUGAGUUCGGGAGAGGUGAGUGGAACUGCGAGUGUAGAGGUGAAAUUCGUAGAUAUUCGCAAGAACACCAGUGGCGAAGGCGGCUCACUGGCCCGAUACUGACGCUGAGGUGCGAAAGCGUGGGGAGCAAACAGGG
rnacentral:rRNA from 1 species